rnacentral:sRNA from 1 species
AGUGAACUUCGUUUGAGGCGGUAUCCUUUUUUGAGACAAUUUUUCUUUGUCUCAAAAAAAGAUAUAGCCGAAAGCGGGAUUAGCU